rnacentral:lncRNA from 1 species
UUUUCACUCUAACAAAUUUAAUAAGUUGAACAGUUGUCAGUGAAAUGGAAUUAAAAUAAUAAGCAAUCUAAAUGUCAUUUUUUUAAGUAAGCGCAGCGCCAUCUUGUCCCAGCGCUGAAAGUGACAUCACGAGGUUGGUCCUCGGACGCCUCACUGACAUAAACUAUUAGUCUACAGUAACAGGGGGGGGGCUUUUGUAUUGCCCCUGGGUGUAGUAAUACUGGGUGUAGUAAAAUUUUAUUGGGUGGCAAAUGAGAAAAAGAUUCACUUUCACUUUCAUUCCUCGCCUCACACAGCUGUUCUUCGGCAGUGGCUAGCAGCGCUGAAGCGCGAGAAUCCUCCGGUCA